AUUUUUUUUUCUUUUUUUCCCCCUUUUUUGGCCACCCUUACGACAUAUAAGUUCCCAGGCCAGGGAUCAAAUUCAAGACGGAGCUGAGACCCAUGCCACAGCUGCAGCAAUGCCAUACCCUUAACCCAUUGUGCCAGGCUGGGGACUGAACCCAUGCCUCCACAGAGCAAGCUGGAUCAUUAACCCACUGCACCAUAGUGGGAACUCCCAGAAAUCUGCAUGUAAAAAUAAGUAUCCUUUGCCUACAGAGUUAUACAUACAGAGCAAGUCUCAAGCCAUGUGAAGCAAGCCCAGGUUUCUCCACACUAGCCAUUCAGCCACACGACUCUAUGCAGUGUCUCCUUUUCACCCACGUUCCAGAAUUCCGGGAGACAAGAGAAAAACAGCGAUCAACACCCCACAAACAGUCGAAUGUUAUUACCCAGGUACACUGAUCAACUUGAAAGGUCUAGGAUCUUACUCCUAUGCUACUUGUCCAAAUCACCAAGGCCAGAGAUGGUUUGUUUGGCUUUUGAAAAAGAUUAACGGCAACAAAGAAUGACAAUAAUAACAUAAGUCAAUCUGUUAAUUAUUCAAAAACAAACUCCAAAACAAUCAAUAGGUUAAUUUUACCACAAAUUCUACAAUAUUUAUUAUGAGGUUGGAGCUUUGGAGUCGUAACAGAAAGGUAGUGAAAAAAUUAAGCUGGUGAGAGACUGCUCGCAUAGAUCAACACCCAAAGUGAAAUGGGGUCUCGAGACUCAUUUAUGUAGUCAACAGAUUAAAUUCAAUCAACACUUACCAAUCAAUAUAACAAGAGCUUAUGUGGGGCUCAGACCGUCAAAAACAAACAAACAAAAACCAAAACACCUCAAACAAACCAAGAAGCCGUAUUUUAAAUGGCAGGCACCCCUUAAUGCGCAGCAUUACCUUUCAGGUCAGCAUUACCAGUGCCACCAGAAUCGGGCUCUGUGUGCAACUAUGCACUGAAAUGUUCAAUCUCCUCGAUACUGUCAUCAUCGUCAUCAUUUGCAUCCACCUCCUCCAGCCUCUCCCACACUGUAUUUUAACAAUGAAUUUUAUCUGUGUCCACUAUGUAAUUAAUAUUGGAGCACUGCGAAGGAAGAGAUCCUAUCUUGUUCAACCCUGUAUCUCCAAAUGUUUAGCAUAGCGUUGGCACAUAAGAAAUAAAUACAUGCUGAAUGAAUGAAAAUAUUCUACCUUUAAGGAAAAACAGGUUAAAAAAUCCAAUUUUUAGGUGUAGAGGGAACAUAUCAUGACUAUAUAUAAACAAAAAUAUAUUAAAGUAGAUCAUCUGCCUACAGAUUUCAAAUACAAUACAUGCUGAUGGUAGAAAAUGUACCCCCAUGAGGGGGCACUAUUGAGCUACCUCUCUCCGUUCACAUAUUAAGAGCAGGAAUGGGUAACAUUUAAAGGGUUUAAUGUGUGCCAAGCACUGUUCUAGGUGCUUUGAAUAUAAACCAAUUUAACCCUCCCAACCUCUGAGGUAGGUACUAUUUUUAUCUCAAUUUACCGAUGAGGAAACUAGGACGCAAAGCAGUGACAUAACUUGCUCAAGGUUAGAGACAGUAGAGCAGUGGAGGGAGCUAAGACACAAGUUGGACAAUCUGGCUCUAAACCCUGCUCUUUCAGUCACUACAUUACACUGUUUCUCUAAUGUUACUCAAUUCCUGCAUGACCGGCAACGGUAUCAGUGAGAGCUAAACUGAAAACAUCCCUUCAUUGUUGUAUUUGCAAAUCCAUAUCAUAAACAUUUCCUUGUUUGUAUGUCUGAUUUUAACUUUAAAAAAUCACAUCUGAAUUAUAUUAUCCAGAAGUACAAUUAAGAGUACAUUUAUAAAAUAACAGGUAUGGACCUCCGUCUAUACAGGCUUAGAGUUUAUUUUACAAGGUAGUGAACACGUACCAGAGUGCUAAAACUAAACAACACAAAAUGUAAAAAAAGGAAACAUAUCAAAAAUUGGACAAAAUUCACAGUUCGAAAAAAGUUUUUUAGUAGAAUCAGAUAUUAGCAUUUAAACAAAUGAAUACACUGCCAUAAGAAGGGCAUUAAAUCCCAUUACAAAAGUAAUUAUUACCUACCUCCUAAUAUACAGCACAGGAAACACUUGGAGCUCCCCGGUGACUGCAACAGUCACUGCUCAUGCAAUCACUGAGGCCUUGGUUCUUACCAGUUCUUCUAAUUAAACAGCAAGAGCUGCUUAAGACUAGUUUUUGCUUCUUAAAGCACAUUAAAAUGUGCCAGAAUAGACCCCUGAAGUUUAAAAAUUAAAACAAAUGAGUUAGGGAACGUCUAAUCCUUUAAUUACCUUAAUCAGUAAUUAAAAGAGAAUACUGUAAUGUUCCAGUAUUUGUACCUGAUAAAAUAAAAUUGGAGGCUAGAAACAAUGGAUUUAACAAAGAUUCUUAAAAGAAUUAAUACACUGAUACACAGCAUAACAAAAAAAUUUCACUAUAAUAACUGGAGAACAAAAAUUAAAAAAAAAAACGGAAUAAUGAAAAAAAUAGUGCUUACUUCUGCAUAAUGUUGACAUUUGGUUUUUUUGAAGCCAAUUGAUAAACAUUAAAGAAAAUACAACUUUAGUUCACUUUAUCCAAAAUACUCCGAAGAAAACUUGAAAAAUAACAUUAUUAGAAGGUACAAUACAAACAUGAAAGCUAGGAUGAUGGUAUACAAACUGGUGGGUAGGAUGGAUAACAGAACAUUUCACUGUAGUGCUUAACUUACGUUAAGUAAAAUAUGGAACAUGAUCCUGUCAAAACAAUGGUUUGAGAACCUUGUGUCAUAACAAAGUAAGGGAUCAGUAAUUUUCACUAGUUUGCAGAUAUACAAUUUACAGAGCUGAUUUUGAUACAGAUUUGAGAAUUCCAUCUGCAUCUUUUCUCAAGAAUUCUAGUUUCAUGUAUUUGUUUCCUAUAGAAGCUCCUGUUAUUAGAGGAUAACUGUCAAUGCAAAAACUUGUUUAAACAGCCUGAAGAGCGAGUGACAGAAGAGAAAGGAGCUAAGUCAAGCAGUUUUCCCUUUGCCUUUGUGUGUUCAAAAGGAUGAACAUGAACUUGAUAAAACCAGUGCCUCCGAGUGACUCAGCACAACCGAAAUGGGCAAAGGAGGGCUGACCCUCAGAUGCUCUGCCCAGGGCCCUGUGCCUCUCCUCCGGGCCCCCCCACCCCCUCAGGAUGCCUUUGCUGACAUCUGACCCGGGGGCUCUUGGGCCCCUCUUCUCUAGAAAAAUCAAGUAAGUCAUUAACACUUUUGUAUCAAUUACUUGGUCUCCCAAAAUUAUUGUUUAAUAGAACAUUUCUUUUCUUUCCUUUAAUAUUGUUAGUUCAGGAGUUCCCAUUGUGGCAUAGCGGAAAUGAAUCUGACUAGGAACCAUAAGGUUGCAGGUUCGAUCCCUGGCCUUGCUCAGUAGGUUAAGGAUCCAGCGUUGCUGUCAGCUGUGGUGUAGGUUGCAGACGCAGCUUGGAUCUGGCGUUGCUGUGGCUCUGGUAUAGGCCGGUGGCAACAGUUCCAAUUAGACCCCUAGCCUAGGAAUCUCCAUGUGCGGCGGGUGAGGCCCUAAAAAGACAAAAAGACCCCCCAAAAAAUAUAUGUUAGUUCAGUUUCAUCAUGAUAAUUUCUACCUAAUCUAAUUUUACUUGGGUCAGAUUGUGUUUUGCAUUAAAAUGUCCUCAUUGUUAAAAUGCUGGGUUAAAAUAUUCGGCUAUAAUUUUUUAAAAGUAAUUUUUAUUCAAUUUAUUCAAACUUAAAAAAAAGUUUAACCCACCUAGUCUUACACCCACCUCUUGCAACUAUCAAUUUGUUCUCUGUAUCUAUAUGGGCUUGUGUUUUUUGUUUUUUAAGAUUCUGCACAUAAGGGAGACCAUCUGGUAUUCAUCUUUCUCUGUUUGACUUAUUUCAUUUAGGAUAAUGCCCUCCCUCCAGGGCCAGCCAUGUUGUUGCAAAUGACAAGAUUUCAUUCUUUUUUAUGGCCGUGUGUGUGUGUGUGUGUGUGUGUGUGUCUGUGUGUGUGUGGCAAUUUCAUUACCCAUCCAUCCACUGAUGGGAACUCAGGUUAUUUCCGUAUCUCAGUUAGUGUAACUAAAGCUGCCAUGGACACAGGGGUGCAUACAUCAUUUCAAACUAGUUUUGUUAUUUUCUUCAGACAAACACCUGGAAGCAGAAUUGCUGAUCCUAUAGUAGUUCUAUUUUUAAUUAUCUGAGGAAUCUUUACACUGUUUUCCAGAGCGCCUGCAUUGUUGGUGGGCAUGUAAAUUGGCUUCCUUUUCUCCACCUCCUCACCAACAUUUGCUAUCUUUUAUUUUUUUGAUAACAGCCAUUCUAACAGGUGUGAAGCAACAGCUUGCUGUGGUUUUGAUUUGCAUCUCCCUGAUGACUAAUGAUGUGCAGCAUCUUUUCAUGUGCCUGUUGGUUGUAUGUCUUCUUUGGAAAAGUGUCUAUUCAGAUCUUCUGACUAUUUUAAAGAUGGAUUCUUUGUUUUUGCUUUUCAGUUGUAUGAGUUCUUUGUAUAUUUUAGAUUCAUCAGAUACAUGAAGUAAUAUUUCUGGUCAAGAUGUUCCACAGAUAGAAAGGCAAAUGACAGUGAUUGUCUAUUUCUCAAGGAAAAAAUUCUAAACAUAUUUCAGGUAUUUUUGAAAUUCAGAAACUUGAAGCCACGUAUUUCAUUCCCUACACAGCGUGUCACAGUCCCCAUGUGUUUCUGUGGUUUAAUAUGCUCUCCCUUUCCCUCUUGGAGGAUCUAAAAUUUAGAGAGAGGCAUGAAGAACAAUGCUAAAGGAGGAGUUUCAGCUCCUAGCAACACUGACUUAGUGACUUUUUGGACCUCUGACUCAAUACUAGCUGUGUCUGACCACUCAACCUAUUAACAAUAUUUCACUACUUUGCACAAGAGUAUACCAAAGAAAAUCAAUUCCUUCUAAAGAUAUACUGCACAAAGUUAUUUCCUUCUACUGAUUUAAUAUUCAUUAUGUUUUUAUUAUUAGCACCAAUAAAUAUUCACACUUGCUGACCUUUAUUUAGUGCAUUAUGUGAUACAAGGCAGACGAAGAUUUUAAUUUAAAUAUGUCAUAUAAAAUAAAAAUUCAAUUACUUAUUUUUAUUUCCUGCAGUGUCUAAAACUGCUGAGUAGACCUGGCAAGCUGAGGAAAGACUGGGUUCAAAGACUUUUUUUGUGAAAAUAAGUAAUGUAGGAGUUCGCGCUGUGGCUCAGUGGUAACGAACCCAACUAGAAUCCAUGAGGAUGUGGGUUUGAUCCCUGGCCCUGCUCAGUGGGUUAAGCACUGCCAUGAGCUGUGUGGUAUAGGUCACAGAUGCGGCUCAGAUCCUGAACUGCUGUGGCUGUGGCUGUGGCUGGAGCAUAGGCCGGCAGCUGUAGCUCUGAUGUGACCCCUAGCCUGGGAACUUCCAUAUGCCAU
rnacentral:lncRNA from 1 species